rnacentral:rRNA from 1 species
UACGUAGGGUGCGAGCGUUGUCCGGAAUUAUUGGGCGUAAAGAGCUUGUAGGCGGUUUGUCGCGUCUGCCGUGAAAAUUCGAGGCUCAACCUCGAACUUGCGGUGGGUACGGGCAGACUAGAGUGUGGUAGGGGAGACUGGAAUUCCUGGUGUAGCGGUGAAAUGCGCAGAUAUCAGGAGGAACACCGAUGGCGAAGGCAGGUCUCUGGGCCACUGACUGCGUGAGAAGCGAAAGCAUGGGGAGCGAACAGG